rnacentral:rRNA from 1 species
UACGAAGGGGGCUAGCGUUGCUCGGAAUUACUGGGCGUAAAGGGCGCGUUAGGGCGGACAGUUUAGUCAGAGGUGAAAGCCCAGGGACUCAACCUUGGAAUUGCCUUGAUCACUGGCUGUCUUGAGUUCGGGAGAGGUGAGUGGAUGCCGAGUGUAGAGGUGAAAUUCGUAGAUAAUUCGGCGAACACCAGUGGCGAAGCGACUCACUGGCCCGAUACUGACGCUGAGGCGCGAAAGCG